rnacentral:rRNA from 1 species
ACGCUCGACACCUACGAGGCAGCAGUGAGGAAUAUUGGUCAAUGGGCGCAGGCCUGAACCAGCCAAGUAGCGUGAAGGAUGACUGCCCUAUGGGUUGUAAACUUCUUUUAUAUGGGAAUAAAGUUUUCCACGUGUGGAAUUUUGUAUGUACCAUAUGAAUAAGGAUCGGCUAACUCCGUACCAGCAGCCGCGGUAAUCUGAGCGGGCUGGCAAGGC